rnacentral:rRNA from 1 species
CAGGGCUUGACAUCCUAUGAAUCCGGUAGAGAUACUGGAGUGCCCUUCGGGGAGCAUAGAGACAGGUGGUGCAUGGUUGUCGUCAGCUCGUGUCGUGAGAUGUUGGGUUAAGUCCCGCAACGAGCGCAACCCUUAUGUUUAGUUGCUACGCAAGAGCACUCUAGACAGACUGCCGUUGACAAAACGGAGGAAGGUGGGGACGACGUCAAAUCAUCAUGCCCCUUAUGUCCUGGGCUACACACGUACUACAAUGGCGGUCAACAACGGGAAGCUAAGCCGCGAGGUGGAGCAAAUCCCCAAAAGCCGUCCCAGUUCAGAUUGCAGGCUGCAACUCGCCUGCAUGAAGUCGGAAUUGCUAGUAAUCGCAGAUCAGCAUGCUGCGGUGAAUACGUUCCC